rnacentral:rRNA from 1 species
AUGUCCUGAUCCAACAUCGAGGUCGUAAACCCCCUUGUCGAUAUGAACUCUCAGAGGGGAUUGCGCUGUUAUCCCUAGGGUAACUCGGUCCGUUGAUCGGCACUGCCGGAUCUUAUUGGUCAGAAGUUCUGUUAGUUAGAACUGCGGUUCUUGCUUUUAGGAGAGGAUCUCCCAGUCCACAUGGGGGUUGUUUGUUACCCCACGGUCGCCCCAACCAAAGACAUAGGGGCAGGUU